CAACAGAAAAAUGUUCAGCCGACGCUCCCGUUGCAAUAUGAUAAAACUCACUUGAUCUCAUAUUGACUGAUUGGACUUUUUCAAACACUGAGAUCACAUGAUGUAAUCACUUGAAUUAUGGAGCACUUUUCAAAAACAAGUUACAAAGCGCUCAACAAGAAGAGAGUGACGAGUUGGCAGCGAGGCUAAGCCAAAUAUUUCACUCCAUCAUAUGAGCACAUAUCCAGUUCUGAUUAUCUCUGAAUUCCAAUGUCAAUCUAUGAUCCAUCUUCAGAAAGCCGAACGUUCAAAAGUCCGGUCGGGCUCAGCGGUAGCCGUAGCCCGGCAGAGGCAGAGGCUGGCCCUCCUUGGCCUCGAAGAAGGUGUAGGACAGCGUGAUGGUGUCCACGCGAGCCAUCCUGGGGUCCACGUCGAACUCGGGGUCGAUGUAGAAGAAGACGGGCAUGUCCACCUCCUCGUGAGGGUUCAGACGCUGCUCCUCGAAGCAGAAGCACUGAGGAAGGACACAAGCGGAGACACAAGGCCAGCGCCGUCUCACCCGGGACCACCUGCGCGACAACCGACCGCAGUUUGAGCGAACGACCGGCGCGCUUCCGACGUCCGACGAGCGUCUUACGAAGAUCUCCGUCUGCUGAGGUCGGAAGUUCCACUGCAUGCUGGCGUGCGUGUCUGCGUUGAAGGUGACCUUGACCACGCGCUCCUUCACCGGCUCCAUGCUCUCCACCAGGUCCGAGUCGUGACCGCUCACCGCCGUGCCGCCGAGGCCCGUCGCCUGGCGGGAAAACAAAGCUGAAAUCGCACAACGCGACCACGAGGCUCUCGAAAGCUCUCGCAAAAUCGGUGGAAGUUUCAAUAUGUGCAACGGUAACUCCGGUGCCUACCUCUAAUAUGGCGCAGAUUUUUAAGCAAUUGUUUUUUAUGGGUUUUUACAGUAUACAGGCAACUCUGAUUUGAGAGUUUUUGGCCUUGAGUGUAGUACCACGUCGUUCCACAACAUGCCAGGCAACACUGAGCUCUGCUGGGUCAAAUGACGCAUCAUUAGGAGAACAGAAGAAGGGCCAGGAACGUUCCAGAGGAGAGAGAACACAUGCUUGUCGGUACUGCUCGAGUCUCCAUUUGUAUGUGUUGCUGCUCGCGUGUGUUAAAGGAGCAGUCGUUUAAACGUGCAUCAUUACCAUUACAUAUAUGUGCUAAUUUCGGUUAUCCCAUCUAUGGCGUUGUUGGUAUUACGCUAGCAGACGUUUAUUUUACAGUUUAGCGUUUAAAUAUACAAUGUUUAUUUUUUUACAGUAAACUUCAACUCGGAGUGAUAAAAAAAACAGUUUUGCCUCUUUGGACAAUUGUGCCAGUGAGAGAACAGGCGUUAAGGAAUACAUUAAAAAAAAAAAAAAAAAAAAAAGCAUCUUUUCAUACAGUUGAGUGUGUUUUAAGAAGCUUAAACGUGUUUAAUAGUGCGUGGGAGGUGUAUAAGUACAAAACCGUUUUUUUAUACACGGUCUUUAUAUCGCAGAUUUCCAUCCCUUUAUUCAAAAAUGGGAAACGAUUUCAAAUUGACAGUGUAAAAAAUGAUUUUGAAUCUCUAGAAAAGUAGAUGGUUGUUUCCCAAAACAAAAGCAGAUGUUUUAUUUGGAUUCAACACGGAGGACUACAGAAAGCGGGGAAUACUUAACUGCCGGGAGACCGAAAUUUGGAGGAUUUGGACAAUUUGAAGUGAACCGAGGUCUCGAUUGGAUGGCUUAAAUUGUGACACCGGUCCUGGAACUUGUCUGCCACGCACGCGCUCGCUCGCUAGCUCACCUGGCAGUAGAGCUUGUAGAGCGGCACGGCGGCGUAGGACAGGCCGAUCAUGGCCACGCCGGCGGCCGCCACGUACGUGAGCAGCGUCUCGUUGCGGCUCUUCCGCUGCUCCUCGUGGCUCGGACGCUUUCUGCUCUGGACCCCCCGGCACUGGACGCGGGGGCGCCACAGGAAGAGCGGCGGCCUUCCGGCGUGCCAGCGAAGGGGCCUCAGGAAGCCGCGCAGCGACUGGCCGACCACCGGGGGCGGCAGCAUGGCAGGAGUUGGCUCACCUGCAUGGAGGAAGACCAGUCAGCAUCGAUUUUCUCAUUGUUGUCGUUAUCGUUCAGCCAUUUUCUAAAGUGCGCUUGAUUGACGUUGACCCUAACAUUGGUGCAAUUGUACUGCUUGCUUUGAACCAGUCCUAACUUUCCUAAUAGGUCAAACCAAACCACCAUCACUGGAACGGUCUCGAAAAGAUCUGCUGGUCUCGUGUGAUUCUAUUAAAGUUCCAUUUGAAGCCCAACCUCCACAUCGACAAGCAACCUCUAACCACGAGGACGCUGUGCUCGUAAGCAAGCCAUCUUUCCAUUUCCCACUUCUCGGGAUUGUGAUUAUUAACGCAUUUUAAGCCUCGCAGAUGUCACGGACGUCAUUUAGGAUUACAAAUCUACACCGCUGUUAAUAGAACAACAACAACAACAACAACGUUGGGAUGAGGACAUGUCUGACCUGCAAGUGUCCACAGUCCUGGUCGGCACGAAGCAAAAACAACGCAAAACGUGAGGGUCAAUAAGUCACGUAAUAAAGACGCUUAAUUGACAUAAUAAAAGCGUCACUUGAUCAUUUGGGUUCCCUCCGAAGGAAACAAAAUAUUCAUGCGCCGGGAGACGACGACAAGCCGGCGGACAUGUUUGACAUGUUUGAGGGAGACACAACAUUGCGCAAGGAACCGGCGUGCAACACAUAAAAGCUUCCCUCGCCGGCAGUCGUCUCAAAAUACAUCGUUCUGCUUUCCAUUAAACAACACAAGUUGACAACAACAUUGUUUGGCACUGCGGUGGAAAAUUAAAGCGCUAAAUGUGAGUACAGUAUCCGUUUUAAGGAGUGGAUUCGGCAAGUGAAAAAAUAGGAUCCAUUUCUCGGCUCAUUAUGAACAUUAAAAUUCUGCGACAACACACACGUUCCGCUUUCGAUGAAAAAAAAAAAAAGCGCAAUAAACGAUUAUAUCAACAAAUGGACUGUCACAGCGUAAGGUACGAUUUGGGAAAAUUGAAAUAUGAAAAUGAAUAUGUAUGUCAAUGAUUUGAAAUGACCUCCUACAGAAGGCCGGUGACACCAUGGGAUUGAAGAUUGAGACAAUUUCCUACCAUAUUACAUACUGGGUGUUGAGUAGUUAAUGUCUUUAAGUAUGUGUCAGUGUCAACGUUGCACUUCCCUUUUGCACUAACCGUGUACAUUAUUCGACUCUAUGUAUUACCAUUUACAAAGAUAUGCAACACCUUAAUCAUCAGUCUCUUUUCUUUCUACUUGUAUUAGAUUUCAAUUUAUAGUGUAACUCCACCCCAAACAACGUAUUUGUUUUUCACUUUGUUGGUUGUUCCCAGUACACAGUAGUAGUGAAUAUUCUAUUCUUAUUUGUAUGAAAUAUUGCCAAUAUCACAAUACUAUCUGUAUUUGGUGAAUUCCACAAUUCAAAAACGAUGACUUUCUCUAGUGUCUUUGAACGUGCAAAAACAUUCCCAGUCAUAUGUUGUACUGGAAGUUGCGCGACGUGUGCGGCUGCAGUCAAAUGAGGGUUUUGUAAAUCGCUCAUCGCGAAGCAAUUCGAUUAUGGACACGAUGUAGUGCGGAGCGCCUACGGAGGCCGCGCGUGGACGAAAAGGCGUUCGUGUUAUCCCGGCGGCCGUCCUGCAAUGGAGGGGGUGACAGUGGGCCAGGUAUUUGAUGCCGAAUGCAUCCUCAGCAAGCGGCCGAGAAAGGGCAAGUUCGAGUAUCUUGUCAAGUGGAGAGGGUGGUCGUCCAAGCACAACAGUUGGGAGCCAGAGGAAAAUAUUUUGGACCCGAGAUUACUGGCAGCCUUUCACAAAAGGGAACAAGAGCGAGAACUUUUGUUCCAGAAGAAAGGAAAGAGGCCGAGAGGACGACCACGCAAGAUUCCGCUUCCCGCUCCGCUCGCCGCAAAAGACAGCCGCUCGUCCUCCUCGUCGUUCUCCGGCGCGUCUUCGUCAGCGGCGGCGUCGUCGUCCGAGGAAGAAGAGGAGGCGGAGCACGAGGGCGAGAAGGCCGAGGGGGCGGGGGCGGGGGCGGGGCCGGGGGAGGCGGCGUCCCCCCGGCUGCACCCCGUCCCCCAGAAGAGGCCUCAGAUCCCGCCCGCCAAAGCCGAGCCUCCUCGCAAGAAGCGCGGCCGGAAACCGCUCCAGACCGACGCCAAAAGCAGGACGCCGCCCUCGCGCCCGCCCCCGAGCCACCACCGCCACCGCCACAACCACCACCACCACCACCACCACCAGCUGCUGCCGGGGUUCCUACGCAAGUAUGGAAAGGUGGAUCCUCGGCCAGGGAUAAAGAAGCCGCUGCAACCGGCGAGCUUCACCUACCCCGGACUCAGCAGGACCGCCAGAGACCACCACGCCGCCGCCCAGAGCUCGGCUUUCUCUCAGGUGGCGGCGUCCAAAGGGGGCUGCGUUUGGAACCGGCACAUGCCCGCGCCCUCGGCGUCCCUCGGCAAAGCUGGCAGCUCGCCGCAAAGGAAGACGUCGCACGGCGAGCUCAAACACUCCGCGUCGGGGGCGGGCGGCGGCCGGGGCGACGCCCUCAAAAGGACGCCGCCCCCUCUGAGAGCCUUCUUCGGGGGCGGGCCUGCGGCAGCGCAGCGCCCCGCGCCGGGUCUGAGGAGGCAGGACGUCCACGGCGGACACGCGGCUCUGCUCCAGCACAACCGAGCGCUCUCCAAGGCGCCGCCGUCGUCGUCCUCGCAGCGGGCGACUAAUCAGACGCUCGGCUUGCGGGCGCUCAACCUGCAGAGCGUCACAAAGACUCCGCCCGCCGGCUACCAGGGCAACAGCGGUGCGGCGGUGCGCUCCAGCACGCGCAGCGGCAGCCUGGUGGUCAUCAAAGACUCUUGCGUUAUACCCGCAGGGCAGCGGCCGGUCCUGCCCGCAGGGGGCGCCGGCGAGAAGGGAAGGAAAGACGUGACGGCGUCGGCGGGCGGCGGGCGGCAGGACGAGCGCAAGUCCGGCCGCAGCCUCAACGAGCUCAGCACCGGCGACUCCGACGACAGCAGCGGCAGCGAGUCGGAGCGGGACGCCGCGUCGUAUCCUAGCGACAGCCGGCCCAGCCUGGGCGACGCCGCUACGGAAUCGGACGCCGAGACGGACUGGCGGCCCACGCGGAACCUUCUGGAGCACGUGUUUGUCACCGACGUGACCGCCAACUUCAUCACCGUCACCGUCAAGGAGUCGCCCACCAGCGUCGGCUUCUUCAACCCACGCGACCACUAGCCCCUUUCGCGCCGCCCUCCGGAACCCGCUCGGUAGCCACGAGGGGGACGGGGCGCGGCAGCCGACCCCCCAAUUUGUCGGCGCUAUCCGAGGCGGAACACAACGGCGUCAGCGUGUAAGGGUGCCCGACAAAAGCCGCGUUUUUCCGGCUCGCUGUCCCGCGUUCAAGGGAGCGAAGCGGGACGGGGGUGGUUUAAGUCACCCUGCAAAUUUGCCAGCUUCAUCGGCGGCCUAAUGGAAGCGGAACACCGUCGGCGUGAAGUUUAGGCAUGCUGGCUACACCGCAUUGUGUUGAAAGCAAUUGUCGCUGCUGUCGCCACGCAUGUAAUUAUGCGAAUGCGUGAAGGCGCACCGCGUUGUGUGUGAAAGGAGUCGCCUUUUUCUCGCAGAUAUGCGGUAGCUCAGCUGGAAGUUGAACACACGAGACUCCCCUUGGUGUUGAAAGCGAUUGUCUGCGCGCAUCUAAUUGUCUACGGGUCAUAUUCUCCCGCGUGCAUACGUCAGAAAAGGCGGCGCGGCUUUUGCGUUCAUUCUGCGGUCAAGUCACACCGUGUGUCAUUUACGCAGCCGCUCUGGGUGGAGCGACCCAAAACGUUCUCGGCCUUCUCUGACAAAUUUGGAUCUGCGUGCAUUUCUCCCGCAGUUGAAAGUCUUAACGCCCCGCCAAGGUGAAACGUCACAUUGCACGAUUUGCUUCGCUUCGCUCCUCCGGCGGCGGGCGACCGCCCCGCGGAUGAGGGUGUGGGACACAACCGGACCCAUCGAUACGAAUGGGUAGAUACGCCGGCGCAACGUAGCAGCCCGGCUAGCCGACGUGCCUUAACGGCGGCCACGUUGGGGAGGUCGACGUUCCCAUAGAAGACAUCGCACGGACACUGAAAUUAAGUCGUAACCUGCUUAUUCCUCAACCGAUUUUCAUGAGGGUUUCGGGUUUGUGAACACCAAAGCGUGUGCUAUCAAUACACAUUUGGAGAAAAUCUUUACACAUGAAAGGUACUGCCAGUUCCCCCGUCGUAAGUGUACGAUGUCGUACGCAACCAUAGGCGGCACGACGUGCCGGCAUCUUUGUUCUUUCGCUUUUCUUGCUGUCCGUACACAUGGAAUGCGCUGAUGACUUUGACGUUCCUGCCUCGGUGUCGCCGUCGGCACGGAGCUCAAAAUGGGAGUGUCGUAUCUGCCGACAGUAUCUGUGACUGGGAACUCUGUGCUCACCCACUGCGUCCCACCACACGGCCGUGACGUGUGCCGAUCGCGCCCAUUAAUUGGCGAAAACAACUUCAGCGCCAGUGGACUUUUUCCACCUGCGAGCAGCAUUUCCGCUUCAGACGCACUGCAGGCAGCUUGCAGUUUGUCUGAAAGCGUCGUUGGCCACAACUACAGUCAUCGUAACAGCGCAAUGCAAAAACAGGCCGCGACACCUCGUCGUUUUCGGCGAAUCCAAAGGGGCGACACGGACCUGAGCUCGUGGAUCUGGAGCACGUCGGGGGCGCUCCCCCCCAGCGAGUGCACGGCCUGCCGGGACAGGUCCCGGGGGGGCGAGUAGAGCAGGUCCAGUUCCCGGGGGCUCAGGGCGUCGCUGGAGUCGUAGUCGCUGUCCGUGGGCAGGAACACCUCCGAGCAGCCGUCCUCGUCCGAGCCCGGGAGCGAGUCUAAACGCGGCGGCGGCGGCGAGUCAACAUCCGCAAGAUGGUCAGCCCCACCUAUUUUUGCCCCGCUCGGGACAACUGUGAAUAUUUGACAGGCGUUGUUCUAAGUUGGGUGUCAGUGUGCUCAAAAUGACCCCCCGCCACCCCCCCCCCCCCCCCCUCGAACCCACGGAAAUUUGAACAUCUCCUCCCCUUGUGUGUCAAUGUUGAAAUCUCGACUUAAGACUCUUUCUUCCACUCUCGCUUUUAGUUAAAGCGCACUUAGAAUGACGGCUGUUUUGGGCUGUUUUACUGCCGCUUCUCCUCCCUCCUCCCACAUGAUCAGAAUGGCUCCUGCCACCAUUUGAGCCAGGAAAAACCCCGAUGAUGAUGAUGAUGCUCACCGCUGAUGGCCUUCCUCCUGCGCAGUUCCGGCGAGGGCGAGGGCGGGUAGUCCAUGGCGGACGAGGUGGAGUCGGUCUUCUGCUGUCCGUCCUCGCUUUCCGGGGCGCCGGCGUCCACCAGGCAGGUGACGGGUACGCCGCCGCGCGGGUGCUUGUAGCGGGCGUACUGCAGCGCGUCCGUCAGCCAGCGGAGGUCUCGCCGCGUCUCGUCCAGCUGCUGCAGAUAUAUAUAUAUAUAAAGAUGGCGGCAAAUUUGAUUUCACUGAGUGAACUUGUGUCUAAUUUGAUGAUUUUGUGAGCGUGUUUUCCUCCCUCAACGUGUGACGAGUCGAAACAAAGCGUCCAAUUAGACCACAUCGUGUCAUUUUCACACUCACUCACUUUUGCGCACGGCCGAGAACCACAUGAACUGUUUCUGCGCGUCUUCGUGGGGCCACAUUUUAUUUUGCAUCUUGCGAGUGAGGACAUUUAUAUAAAAAAAAAAAAAAAAAAAGAAAAAAAAAGGAUUUUCAAACUGUUACC